GCUAACAUUUUCCGGUGGGAAAGAGAAAUUGACCUGUAUUUACAAGAAAAGCUAUCUAUCUCAUCCACCAUGGCAGAAGAAGAAGAUCCAGACUGUUGAUUGGGAAACGAGAACAAAUUAUGAGCCAUGAGGAUUGGGUGUUGAGCGACCACUUGUCACAUUGUCCAAGGUGGAUGGAAAUGGACAUCCUGUGCCAGUGUGAUCUGAACGCAAGCGUCCCUUUUAUUUGAUUUAUUUUAUCUUUAUUUAACUAUUCAAGUCAGUUAAGAACAAAUUCUUAUUUACAAUGACGGCCUACCCCAGCCAAACACUAACCCGGACGACGCUGAAUUGUGCACCGCCCUAUGGGACUCCCAAUCACGGCCGGUUGUGAUACAGCCUGGAAUAUAACCAUGGUCUGUGGUGACGCCUCUAACACUGAGAUGCAGUGCAUUAGACCGCAGCGCCACUCACUGUAGAAUACUAGGUUGACCCAAGUAUGAAAAAUGACUGCAGCUGGUAAAUUGAGAAAGUUGAUCAUAAAGUUACUAGUCCCCCCCCCAUGUCAAACGCCGGAUAUGUUAUAAACCAAUGGUAGCAUCAUAUAAUCGUAACUAAUAUAAUUCUGGAACGCAUUAAAACCAUCAUCACAUGUGCGCGUCUUACAGUUUUAUUUUACAACCCAUAAAAUAGCACGAGUGGUAUCUGUUGGAAAAAAGUUUGGAUGUUGCCACACACAUACCUACUUGUUAACAAAAUUAAGGAAGUUUCCUUUAAAAUUAUUCAUAAAUAUUAUCCUGCCAACCACUAUAUGAAGAAGUUUAAGGAAAACAUCAACUCAAAUUGCUCCUUUUGUAAUGACCACCCAGAAACAGUUGUGCAUCUUUUUGGCAUUGUAUGCAUGUAAGAAAACUGUGGCAAGACAUCAGUAGGUUUAUAAUUGAACACAUUUAUGAAGAUUUUACACUAUUGUGGAGAGAUGUACUGUUUGGAUUCUUUACAUACAAUAGAAAUAAGCGGAAUCAUUUUUAUGUAAUUAAUUUCAUUAUUCUUUUGGCCAAAUUUCAUAUACACAAAUGUACAUUUACAAACAGAAAACCACAUUGUCGUACCCUACAAAAAGAAAUCGAACUGUAUUUUAAGACGGUUAAAUGCUCUACUAACAAAAAAGCUGUUAGAAUUGUAAGUAUAUGCAUGUCCCUUAAGGUCCUUGUGUAAUUGUAAUGUGAUAUUGUACCCCCUAGCUCGAUUGUCUAUUGUUUGUAAUCUAUGUAUGCUUGUGUUCCCUCAUGUGCUUUAUGUGUCGAUUUGAUAUUAAUAAAAUAAUAAUAAUAAAAAAUAGCACGAGUGGCACAAGGUAUUGCUGUGCCACGAGAGAUUUUGGGUUCGAGUCCUAACUGUCGCAGGCGGCGCACAAUUGGCACAGCUUUGUCCGGGUUAGUGGAGGGCUUGGCCGGGAGGGAUAUCCUUGUCCCAUCGGGCACUAGCGACUCCUGUUUGCGGAUUGGACGCAGUGGACGCUGACACGUUCCAGGUGUACGGUGUUUCCUCCUCCGGCUGGCUUCCGGGUUAAGUGGGCAUCGUGUCAAGAAGAAGCAGCGCGGUUGUGGACUGUAACUACCAAUUGGAUGAAGGGGUUAAAAAAAGACGAUAGUUACCAGCAUCUUUCAGCCUUUUCAUUCGUGUUGUGACUUUUAGCUAGCAAGCUAAUUUACUUACCAGCAUGCGCGAAAAAGCACACUGUGUUUUGACCGGAUGCCAUAGUGUUAAUUUAACGGUACACUAUUUUAGAAGAAUGAACACAUCCGACAUCAGUGGCUGUUUUUUCUCUUCGGGUGGACAGGCUACACCGAAAAUUGGGAUUAUGUAUGUGAGUACUGUGCGCAUUUCGAGCGAAAUUCCGAUGGGAACAUCCGAUGGGUCUUGCCAGGAAGCUAAUCCUGAAGACGGCUGCAGUACCAUCAUUGACACUUCCCACCAGGAUAUGUGAAAAAGUGCGAAGUAUGAUUGACUUAAUAUUGGUGUCUGAUAAAUCUAAAAUAUCGCAGAUUGUAGUAAUAGUAUAUGGAAUCCGUGAUCAUUUUAUUACAUUUUGCACAAGGAUUUUUAAAUAUAUAUGUAUGUGUCACAAAACCGUUAGAAUCAGAGGACUCAACAUACUGUGUUGAAAAGUUUAGGGAGGAAGAGGGUCAAAUUGAUUGGUCACCUGUGCUAGAUAGUGUAGCAGUAGACAGUGCCUGAGAAGUAUUUUUAAAUGUAGAUUCCUUGAUGUGGUGAAUGUGACGGCUUCUAUUAGAUGGGUCAGGAUAAAGCAGAGAUCUAUCCCUUGGUUUAAUCAUGAGAUUCUAAAAUAUAUCCAAGAUAUAUGAACUGUAAGAACUCUCAAGAGCAGCAAGCUUUGGAAAUCAUUUUAAUGAACUAGGCUGUAGUAGUACUACCAAAAACAAACUAAACAGCAUUGGAUUGAAUGUCAAGGGGGAGGUGGUAUAUGAAAAAGCAGAGGUUACCAAUGAAACUCUUCUAUUUUUUUUAAAAUUACUUAUGUUGCCAGCAAGCUGGUUAGCAAGCAGCCUACAAGUUCUGGUUUGUAUGGAAGCAACCAAGUGAAGAAGUAUUAUGUAAAGUUAGGGGUUCAGCCAAACACUUUUUCUUUUGCAAAGGUAGCAACAGCCAAAAUAAUCCGUAUCCUGGCAGAGUUUAAAUGCUCCCAAGCCACAGGCCUGGAUAAUAUUACUGCAAGGUUUCUUAUAGAUUCUGCUGAGCAAAUUGGCCCUCAUAUUACGUAUAUCGUUAAUCUCUCUUGAACAAGGCACCUUUCCCAGGGACAUGAAACAAGCUAAAGUUAUACCUCUGUAUAAGUAGGGGCUAAAGUUUGACCCUGGGAAUUAUAGGCCUGUAUCUAUCUUCUGUGUAACAUCAAAGAUUCUGGAGAGAGUUGUACAUGAGCAAAUUUAUGAAUAUGUUAACAAACAGCGUCUAAUGUAUGAUUUUCAGUCGGGUUUUAGAAAAACAUACUCCACUGAUUGUCUACUUUACGUGACUGACUUCAGCAGGAAAGAGAUUCAUGAUGGAAAUCUGUGGAAUGGGACUACAUGACCUACAGCAGGCAUUUGAUACAGCAGGCAUUUGAUACAGUUAACCACUGUCUCCUAAUCUCCAAAUUGGAAGCACUGGGGUUAAGCAGUAUCCGUCUAGGCUGGGUAAAGUCCUAUUUAUUAGGAAGGGAGCAAGUAAUAGAGUUAAUGGUUCACUGUCUCAGGCAAAACCAAUGAGUUGUGGUGUUCCGGAGGGGAGCAUGCUUGGGCCUUUGCUGUUUUUAUUGUAUAUUAAUGAUAUGAAAGAUGCUUGUUCUUGCUGUAUUUUUCUUUAUGUGGCAGACUCUACACUUCUGGUGUCUUACAAAAGUAAAACUAUUAUGUUGGAGAGCAUACAGAACUUACUACCAUUAGCAAAUGGCUUGGAGAUAAAAAAGCUAUCUCUGCACUUAUAGAAAACUGAAGCAGUUAUUUUUGGAUCCAGACCUAAAUUGUGUAGUUUGUCUGAAAUCAGAGUGGAGUUAGGGGGUGAGGUGUUAACAGAGGUUUUAGUAGUCAACUACUUGGGAUGUAUCCUUGAUGGAAGCUUGGGAGGUGUGAGCAUGGCCAAUAAGGUGCUAGGGAAGGUUAACCUCUCUAGGGUACGUGGGACGGUAGCUGUCAACAGCCAGUGAAACUGCAGGGCGCCAAAUUCGAAACAACAGAAAACCCAUAAUUAAAAUUCCUCAUGUAUUUUACACCAUUUUUAAAGAUACAUUUGUUGUAAAUCCAGCCACAGUGUCCGAUUUCAAAAAGGCUUUACGACGAAAGAAAACCGAACGAUUAUGUUAGGCCAGAGCCAUGUCAAAUGAUGUAUAUCUAAUAAUAAUAAAAAAUAAGAUAUAUUAUCUUCAAUAAUGUUCCAACCGGAGAAUUCCUUUUUCUUCAGAAAUGCAAUGGAAUGCAGGUCGCUCUCACGUGAACAAACAAGGUUCUAAAGACUGUUGACAUCUAGUGGAAGCCUAAGGAAGUGCAACAUGACCCCAUAGACACUUUUCGAUAGGGCAAGAGUCGAAAACCAAAACCCUCAGAUUUCCCACUUCCUGGUUGGAUUUUUUCUCAGGUUUUUGCCUGCCAUAUGAGUUCUGUUAUACUCACAGAUAUCAUUCAAACAGUUUUAGAAACUUCAGUGUUCUCUAUCCAAAUCUACUAAUUAUAUGCAUAUUCUAUUUAUGGCAGAGUAGCAGGCAGUUUAAUUUGGGCACACUUUCCAUCCAAAAUUCCCAAUGCUGCCCCCUACCCUAGAGAAUUUAAUACCAGGACUAAGUUUUUGGCUCGAAAGUCCAAGCUGCUUGAUAAGGAUUCCAUGAGGACUCCAUGAAAGUGAUAGCUACUGCCCCCAUUCAAUACAAUUUGACUAUACUAGUACUUCCUGGUUUGGGGGCUUAUCUAAACGUAUGAAGGGGAAGCUCCAGAUAGCCCAGAAUAAGCUGAACAUGGUAGUAUUGAAGGAGUCCAUAUACUCGUAUAGGCAGGAGCUGCUUCCAGGAACUAAACUGGCUGCCUGUUGAGGCUAGGAUGUCCCAGUUUAGACUAGGUUUGGUUUACAGGAGUAUUUAUGGUCCUGCGCCCAGAUUUCUAAGUGAUUACUUUCCCCGUGUUAGGGAUGCACACAAUCACUGCAUCAGAUCAAACAAUGCCACUUAAUAUAAUGUUUACAUACCCUACAUUACUCAUCUCAUAUGUAUAUACUGUACUCUAUAUCAUCUACUGCAUCUUGCCAUCCUUAUGUAAUACAUGUAUCACUAGCCACUUGAAACUAUGCCACUUUUAUACACUGCUCAAAAAAAUAAAGGGAACACUAAAAUAACACAUCCUAGAUCUGAAUGAAUGAAAUAUUCUUCUUAAAUACUUUUUUAUUUACAUAGUUGAAUGUGCUGACAACAAAAUCACACAAAUUAUCAAUGGAAAUCAAAUGUAUCAACCCAUGGAGGUCUGGAUUUGGAGUCGCACUCAAAAUUAAAGUGGAAAACCACACUACAGGCUGAUCCAACUUUGAUGUAAUGUCCUUAAAACAAGUCAAAAUGAGGCUCAGUAGUGUGUGUGGCCUCCACAAGCCUGUAUGACCUCCCUACAAUGCCUGGGCAUGCUCCUGAUGAGGUGGCGGAUGGUCUCCUGAGGGAUCUCCUCCCAGACCUGGACUAAAGCAUCCGCCAACUCCUGGACAGUCUGUGGUGCAACGUGGUGGUGUUGGUGGAUGGAGCAAGACAUGAUGUCCCAGAUGUGCUCAAUUGGAUUCAGGUCUGGGGAACGGGUGGGCCAGUGCAUAGCAUCAAUGCCUUCCUCUUGCAGGAACUGCUGACACACUCCAGCCACAUGAGGUCUAGCAUUGUCUUGCAUUAGGAUGAACCCAGGGCCAACCGCACCAGCAUAUGGUCUCACAAGGGGUCUGAGGAUCUCAUCUCAGUACCUAAUGGCAGUCAGGCUACCUCUGGCGAGCACAUGGCCCCCCAAAGAAAUGCCACUCCACACCUCCUACGGCCUCCUCCACGUCUCCUGAUGUACUGGCCUGUCUCCUGGUAGCGCCUCCAUGCUCUGGACACUACGCUGACAGACACAGCAAACCUUCUUGCCACAGCUCGCAUUGAUGUACCAUCCUAGAUGAGCUGCACUGCCUGAGCCACUUGUGUGGGUUGUAGACUCUGUCUCAUGUUACCACUAGAGUGAAAGCAGCACCAGCAUUCAAAAGUGACCAAAACAUCAGCCAGUAAGCAUAGGAACUGAGAAGUGGUCUGUGGUCACCACCUGCAGAACCACUCCUUUAUUGGGGGUGUCUUGCUAAUUGCCUAUAAUUUCCACCUGUUGUCUAUUCCAUUUGCACAACAGCAUGUGAAAUUUAUUGUCAAUCAGUGUUGCUUCCUAAGUGGACAGUUUGAUUUCACAGAAGUGUGAUUGACUUGGAGUUGCAUUGUGUUGUUUGUGUUCCCUUUAUUUUUUUGAGAAGUGUAUUUACAUACCCUACAUUACUCAUCUCAUAUGUAUAUACUGUACUCGAUACCAUCUACUGCAUCUUGCCUAUGCCGUUCUGUACCAUCACUCAUUCAUAUAUCUUUAUGGACAUAUUCUUUAUCCCUUUACACUUGUGUGUGUAUAAGGUAGUAGUUGUGGAAUUGUUAGGUUAGAUUACUCGUUGGUUAUUACUGCAUUGUCGGAACGAGAAGCACAAGCAUUUUGCUACACUCGCAUUAACAUCUGCUAACCACGUGUAUGUGACAAAUAAAGUUUGAUUUGAGAUCAGGUGUUGCUGAUGUGUGCUUAUACAGGUUCAGGAGUAAUGCAGAGAAAGGUACUUUCUUGUAUACUGGAGCCUCAGAAUGGAAUGAGUUGCCUCUGCCCAUAAAAACAAUGUUCCUCUCUGGGCAGCUUUAAAAAUAAAGUAAAAAUAUGUUUGUCUUCUGUACCCAUAUGAAUAACCCCUAUGAUGUAACUGGAAUGAUGAGAGAUGUUCUUCUGUUUUAUUAUUUCACUGCCAUACUGUGUUCCAUCUUGUCUCAAGAGAACCACAAUGGAAAUAAGUCCCAGACUUUAUUGUGUGUUAUCCUCAAUGAUUUUAUUCAUGUGCAUGUAUGGCUUUUUCAAGUUUUGUGUGCUUGUUUUUUUUAAAUGGUUGAAUUAUUAAACUAAACUAAAAAAGUGGAUCUUGCAAGCGUUGAUCAUAAUAAGUAUCAGUUUGAUGAGUCUGACACUGUGGCUGUUUUAAUUUCUGAACGCUAUAUUUUCUGUAACACACCUGAUAGUCAUUAUGUUUUUUGUUCAUCCAUCCCUAAAGUACUGCGUGGUCAAGCUGACGUCUGCAUUUGCCAUGCAGUAUUUAUCUUGAUAUGGACACUGCAGAAGUCACGGCAUUCAUGGUUUUUGCUCUUCGUGGAGCAGAGCAGUUGUCAAGGAAGUGAGUUUGUUUGUACAGGACCUCCCACCCCCACCUAUUGUCAACCAAUCAUGUCAAUGCGGAGCUAUACGGAGCCCUCCGCAUUGUUACAACAUUUGGGAGGCGCACAGCGAUGCUGCAGAAUUAUGCCUUUGCGUGCUUCUGGAGGAUCCGCAAUUGCGUCACACCCUCCAUACAAAGCCUUCCACCACAUUUUAGAAUCAACCAUGAGUUGGCUUGAAGCAUCCUCGGUCGAACUGCCAGCACACAGCUGACACGAAGUAAUGUCGUCCGCAAAAGGAGUUUCCCAGGCAACCACCGGCAGCAGAAAUGCUGUGAUACAAAAUCAGCUUUCCCUUGGGGAUAUGCUGUGAAGCUUGUGAAGACAGACCAAAGGGGGAUUUGCUGUGAAGACAGACACAACAUACUGCAAUGGGGAUGACUGAAGCAAAAGUGGGUGACUGAAGCCUGCUUGAUUGAAACGGGGUUUAUGGGUCCCACUCCCCUCCGCAUCAAUCUCUGUAGUUGGUUGCAUUUCCUAAAGCUUAAGUAAUUCAUGUGAUAUCCAAUUUUGUCACUUUUUAUAUAUAUAUUUUUGCAUUUGGAUGGGAAAUUAGUUUGACUGCACAGUGUAGGCCGGGCCAGGUGCCUAUAUUAGGCUUACUGCUCUAAUAUAUAUUUUUUAUGUCAUGUUUCACUGUUAUUUCUCAAUAUUUUGACUAUGCUGGCCUAUUUUUAAAUGAUCAAAUACAUGUCUGAUCAACACAUACAAUUCUGAACGUAGUCAUAAUGCCAAUGCAGAGUCACCAAUCAUGGGCCAUGACGAUGUUAUGUCCUCGUCAGAGCUGUCCAAGCACACGCGAAGACAGCGUAACAGACAGAGGUGGAAAAAAACUAAGUAGCUGCAAAGAGCCAAGUUUGUUCAUCAAUCACAUUUUUAUUUGUCACGUGUUAUAAACGAGAACUUCACUCUUCAACUCUCAUUUUAUCCCUUAUAUUAAUAGACUCAAUUUGUGGAUAAAUCCCAAGCUUGUCCAUGCUUAAAGGCAAAUGUAUUAAUAUAAUGUAAUAUAAGGCAAGUUAAGAAACAUCUGUAUGAAACAUCUGUAGUCUUUUUUUCAUAAAACAAGACAAUAUUGUCAUUGUCAUUUUGAACGUUGUGAUCUCUGUUUAAACAGUGCAUUGCAUUUUGUCCUAAAAUAUGUUCUGGGUCAAAGAAGAUAAUUUAUUUUCUGAGGAAUGUUAGGUGUGUGGUGGGAAGCUUAACAAUAGUUAUGUUUUAUGAAGGGUUUUGACGGCUUGAACGUUUUUCUUUUUUUGUUGUCUAUGGUCCUCUCUGAGCGCUGUAAGCAAGCUGGAAUCACUAAUAACCAUCUUGAUCCCAAACAUAUAAAACAGUUAGCAGAUAAAAGUUCACAGCAUGCCAUGGCCACUCAUUAUUUGCUGAGGAAGUGGUGGUGUCGUCUAUGAAGACUAUAGACUCUGUUCUGCAGCAGGGUCUUCCCGUUCUGUGUUGUUUGGGCCUGUGGUCAGGUUUGUAUUUGAGAAGCAGGCUGCGAGGCAAAGCAAAACAGCACUGUCUGAACAAAAUAGAGGCAAACUAGUCCUUGUGCCGUCCACCCCUUUUGUCACUGUGAAGACACACACACACACACACACACACACACACACACACACACACACAAGGCAGUUCAGUCUUCAGUGUCAAUGACUACAGCAUAAUGGCCUUUAAGUUAUUGAGUCGAGUCCAAAUUGGCAAAUAUAAAGAAAGGUGACAGAAGCCUGUAAGAUCCUAAAUGUAACUAGACUUGCAGUUAUACAGUGCCCCCUUCUGGACAAAACAAAACAUGAUGAGGGAUGGUGCACUAGAAGAAUCACAAAACUAUUUGGUAAAAUCAACAGUAUCUCUAUUACUGCUUUCCUUUUCAUAGGAGUUACGGUAUUUAGCCUGUAAUUUUUGGGGGGCAAUGUUUAUAUUACCCUCUUACAAACAGACCCAUUUUUACCACAUUCUCAUCUACAUACACCAUUUAUACCUCCCGUGCACAUGCCGGGAUGCCGGGGACGAGUGGUAGUAGUGGUGUGCGUCUAUUUUAAUAAAUCCAUUGAGAAUAUACACAAUUAAAAAUAAAUCCAUUAUUAUUAAAAUCAACAUAAGACUAACACAAUUUGGAGUUUGCCAAAAGGCACCUAAAGGACUCUCAGACCUUGAGAAACAAGAUUCUCUGGUCUGAUGAAACCAAGAUUGAACUCUUUGACCUGAAUGCCAAGCAUCACGUCUGGAGGCAAUCUGGCACCAUCCCUACGGUGAAGCAUGGUGGUGGGAAUGUUUUUCAUAGGCAGGGACUGGAAGACUAGUCAGAAUUGAGGGAAAGAUGAAAGGAGCAAAGUACAGAGAGAUCCUUGAUGAAAACCUGCUCAGGACCUCAGACUGGAACUAAGGUUCACAUUCCACCAGGACAACGACCCUAAACACACACUGUCAAGACAAUGCAGGAGUGGUUUCGGGGCAAGUCUGUUUCCAUUGAUCAUUUUUGGAGAGACCUGAAAAUAGCUGUGCAGUAUCACUCCCCAUCCAAGCUGACAGAGCUUGAGAGGAUCUACAGAAAAGAAUGGGAGAAACUCCCCAAAUACAGUUGUGCAAAGCUUGUAGCAUCAUACCCAAUUAGACUUGAGGCUGUAAUUGCUGCCAAAAGUGCAUCAACAAAGUACUGAGUAAAGGGUCUGAAUACUUAUGUAAAUGUAAUAGUUUUUUAAAUGUUGUAUACAUUUGCAAAUAUUUCUAAACCUGUUUUUACUUUAUCAUUAUGUGGUAUUGUGUGUAGAUUGAGGAUUAUUUUGUAUUUAUUUUUAAUCCAUUUUAGAAUAAGGCUGUAAUGUUACGAAAUGUGAAAAGUCAAUGGGUCUGAAUACUUUUCAAAGGCACUGUAGGCCUAUAUAUCAAUCUUGAACAGGAUGAUCUAUAUUGGAUGCCAUUUGAAUGGAAUUGAUGGAGAGAAAGACAGAGUGGUCACUUGUGCACUGAUUUAAAGCAACAAUAUAGUGUUUUUGAAACUCAGCAGCUGUAAUAAAAAAUAAAAAAUCUUUACAAUUAAAAAAAACAAGGUGAUCCUCAAAAGCCUGGUGGAGAUGUCUAUAUUAGACAUGCAUUCAAUCUCUUACUGUAGCAUAGGCUAUGUUGCAGCAAAUGUAGGUCUACCUGUCACAAUAAAAAAAAGUUACCAUGAUGAGAUGAUAAGUCUACAUACUGCGAUGGGCUGUUGGUCCCCACCCUGGGCGUUGAUGCUUCAUCAUGCAGUGACCAGAAAGAUGGCCGUAGAGAAUCCAGAUUUAGACAUUGCAAAUAAUUUAACAGUUCAAUUUCACAUCAUGCUGUUCAUAAAAAUAAUUUAUUAUAAUGUACCAGUUUCUCGCAGUUAUUUAUCCUGGGAAAAGGGAGUGGAUUUGGGUGGUAAAUCUUGGUAACCGGGUUCCUGCCAUUCAACCCUCUACAUUGUUUUUAAAAGGUAUCUGUGACCAACAGAUGCAUAUCUGUAUUCCCAGUCAUGUGAAAUCCAUAAUUAGGGCCUAAUUAUAAUUUUUUAAUUGAUUGAUUUCCUUUAACUCAGUAAAAUCUUUGAAAUUGUUGCAUUUAUAUUUUUGUUCAGUGUAGAUGUGGUGUGGAUAUUAAAAUAUAAAACCUACACUAGAUAACCAGGCUACCAACAUGCAUAUUGCAUCCAAGUCACCCGUUCCACAGAUUUUUGAAAUGGACUUUGAACAAGAUACUGCAUUAUCUAUAGGGCUAUCUUUGGCUGAUUAAUAGGCCUAGUAAGAUAAAUGUCAAUGGCUACAAGAAUAUCAUUACCUUUUCACUAUGCAGCAGAACUCUAGUUACCCACUCAACCUGGACUCAGAGCAUUUUGUAUUAUUCUGUACGCAAAUCCGAGAUCCUCCAUUUAGUAUGUUACAUUUGGUAUGGUUACAUGAGACAGAUGGUUAAUUAAGGCAAAAAUGAAAGUAGGUGGUUAGUCGGGGUGGAUGGGGGUUGCGAAUUCAAAUCUCAUCACAGACAACUUUAGCAACUUUUCAACUACUUGCUACUUUGCAUGUUAGCUAACCCUUCCCCUAACCCUUUUAAAUCUAACUCCUAAACUUAACCCCUAGCCUAGCUAGCGUUAGCAAGCUAGCUAGAAUUCAUAACAUAAUACGUUUUGAUAAUUUGUAACGUAUUAUACAUUUUGCAAAUUCAUAACAUAUAGUGGUCCUUCUGUAGCUCAGUUGGUAGAGCAUGGCGCUUGUAACGCCAGGGUAGUGGGUUCGAUCCCCGGGACCACCCAUACGUAGAAUGUAUGCACACAUGACUGUAAGUCGCUUUGGAUAAAAGCGUCUGCUAAAUGGCAUAUAUUAUUAUUUAUAUUAUAUUGUACGUUUCGAAAUUCGUACCAUAUUAUACGAAUUCUAAUAUAUCAUACGAAAUGUUUAUUUUAUUAAUUUAUUUUACCUUUAUAUUACCAGAUACGUUGACUGAGAACACACUCAUUUACAGCAACAUCCUGGGGAAUAUUUACGGGGAGAUGAAUGAGCCAAUUGGAAGCUGGGGAUGAUUAGGUGGCCAUAAUUGUAUGAGGACCAGAUUAGGGAUUUAGCCAGGACACCGAGGUUGACACCCCUACUCUUACGAUAAGUGCCAUAGGAUCUUUAGUGACCACAGAGAGUCAGGACACGCUUUUAAUGUCCCAUCCAAAAGACGGUACCCAAAACCAGGCAAUGUCCCCAAUGACUGCCCUGGGGCAUUGGAUGUACAGUGAAUUCAGAAAGUAUUCAGACCCCUUGACUUUUCCCACAUUUUGUUAAGUUACAGUCUUAUUCUAAAAUGUAUUAAAUUGUUUUUUUCCCCUCAUCAAUCUAAGCAAAAUACUCAAUCAUGACAAAGCAAAUAUCACCUUUACAUAAGUAUUCAGACCUUAAUGACAGCAAAUAUCACAUUUACAUAAGUAUUCAGACCCUUUACUCAGUACUUUGUUGGUAGCGAUUACAGCCUACAAUCUUCUUGGGUAUGACGCUACAAGCUUGGAACAUCUGUAUUUGGGGAGUUUCUCCCAUUCAUCCCUGCAGAUCCUCUCAAUCUCUGUCAGGUUGGAUGGGGGAGUGUCGCUGCACAGCUAUUUUCAGGUCUCUCCAGAGAUGUUAGAUUGGGUUCAAAACCUGGCUCUGGCGAUCCACUCAAUGAUAUUCAGAGACUUGUCCUGAAGCAACUCAUGCAUUGUCUUGUCUGUGUGCUUAGGUUUGUUGUCCUGUUGGAAGGUGAACCGUAGUCACAGUCUGAGGUCCUGAGCUCUCUGAAGCAGGUUUUCACCAAGGAUUUCUCUGUACUUUGCUCCGUUCAUCUUUCCCUCAAUACUGACUAAUCUCUCAUUCCCUGCCGCUGAAAGACAUCCCCACAGGAUGAUGCUGCCACCACCAUGCUUCACCGUAGGGAUGGUGCCAGGUUUCCUCCAGACGUGAUGCUUGUCAUUCAGGCCAAAGAGUUCAAUCUUGGUUUCAUCAGACCAGAGAAUCUUGUUUCUUAUGGACUAAGAGUCCUUUAGGUGCCUUUUUGCAAACUCCAAGCGGGCUGUGAUGUGCCUUACUGAGUGAGGAGUGGCUUCUGUCUGGCCACUCUACCAUAAAUUCCUGAUUGGUGGAGUGCUGUAGAGAUGGGUGUCCUUCUGGAAGGGUCUCCCAUUUCCACAGACGAACUCUGGAGCGGUGUCAGAGUGACCAUCGGGUUCUUGGUCACCUCCCUGACCAAGGCCCUUCUACCCCAAUUGCUCCGUUUGGCUGGGAGGCCAGCUCUAGGAAGAGUAUUGAUGGUUCCAAAUUCUUCCAUUUAAGAAUGAUGGAGGCCACUGUGUUAUUGGGGACCUUCAAUGCUAGAGAAAAAUGGUAUCCUUUCCCAGAUCUGUGCCUCGACACACUCCCGUGUCGGAGCUCUAUGGACAAUUCCAUCGACAUCAUGGCUUGGUUUUUGCUCUAAAGUGCAGUGUCAACUGUGGGACUUUAUAUAGACAGGUGUGUGCCUUUCCAAAUCAUGUCCAAUCAAUUGAAUUUACCACAGAUGAAUUCCAAUCAAGUUGUAGAAACAUCUCAAGGAUGAUCAAUGGAAACCGGAUGCACCGGAGCUCAAUUUCGAGUCUCAUAGCAAAGGGUCUGGAUACUUAUGUAAAUAAGGUUUCUUUUUUUACAUUUGCAAACAUUUCUGCUUUGCUUUGUCAUUAUGGGGUAUUGUGUGUAGAUUGAUCAGGAAUACAAUUAAUUUAAUUCAUUUUAGAAUAAGGCUGUAACAUAACAAAAUGUGGAAAAAGUCAAGUGAUCUGAAUACUUUCCGAAUGCACUGUAUCUAUAUUUUUUAGACCAGAGUUCCCGCAGCAUCUGGUCUCCCAUCCAAGGACCAACCCUGCUUCGCUGCAGAGGCAAGCCAGCAGUGGGAUAUAGGGUGGUGAACUGCUGCCUAAAAUAGAGCAUUUACAUUACAUUUAAGUCAUUUAGCAGACGCUUUUAUCCAGAGGGAGAUACACAAAUUAAUACAUCCCAUAUGAAACGUAACAUACCAUACUAAAUGGAGUGUAUCGGAUUUAAGUAUAGAAUAAUACGAAAUGCUCUGAGACCGGCUCGAUACACUCUACACUCAGUAGGCCUAAACAGUUUUCCAGUGGUCCAACCAUUUUAUGCAAGUAAAGUACAUGUCGGUUAAAAAAAAUGUCACGCCCGGCCUGAUGGAAACGGAACAUUUAUCGGUAAACUUUCCAAAUGUCGACAAAACAAAAUACUCUAAUCAAGGUGGGAUAUUUUUGUGUCGGUAAAAUCAAUUACGUGAGAAAUGCCGGUGGUAAUGGUAUUAGGCCCAAAUAUUUCUAUAUCAUAUCGAAGUAAACUUGGAGCCACGCGAUGAUAUGUUGUGUGGUCCUUCCUACGAGUCGGGAAAACAUGCAGUUUAGUAGGAUACAUAUUAAUUUAUGAUUUUACAAUAUUCGCAUUCCAAUUGGAUUGAAACCUAGCUAGUGAUUCCAAAAAUAGAUACAUGAUUAGUCGGUCUUUACAAUGCCAUUUAUAAAAUAUGAAAUGUUUAACUUUUUUUUUAAAUAUUCAAAUUAAGGUACAUUUGCAGAUAAUUCAUUCAUAUUUAACUCGCAAGGUUGAUGACCUGGCUAAAAGUUCAUUGAAAGCGCAACAUCUAGGUUAACUUCAAAAGCUAAAUAGCGUGCUACUACGCCAUGGACUUCACGGGAAUUGAAUAAUAAACAACAAAAAUAAAUGUCGGAAUAAAUGACAGAAAAUUGUCUGAGUUAGAGAUCCGGAGUCCAUUCGUGGUAACACCGUGGCUAUGUCUACGAUACGGUGGCAGUGGCACAGAGUGAACUUAAGUUUGCUUUAUAAAUGCUGUGGUAUUUCUUCAAAACCAUUCACGUUUUGUGGCACUCACUUACUGUGAAGAGUCCCAUCGAAAGCCUCACUAGUUAUCCAAAAAAGACUGCUUCUUCUGAAAUAAUCGCGGCCAUGGUGCCUUUCAACUGGUCCCUAUCAGUACUUGCAACAAUAACCGUGGAAAUGCUUGUGUAACGUAGUAGACUGGCCACACACAUACUUACUUAUUAUUAAGGAAGCUUCUUAUAAAAAAAAUAGUAAUAUUAUCCUGCCAACCACUAUAUGAAGACGUUUUUAAAAAACGAAUUAAAAUUGUAAUGACCACCCAGAAACAGUGUUGCAUAUUUUUGGCAUUGUUUUCAUGUAAGGAAUCUGGCAGACAUCAGUAGAUUUAUAAUUGAACACAUUUAUGAAGAUUGUACACUAUUAUGGAGAUGUGCUGCUUGGAUUCUUAACUUAUGAUAAAAUUGUUUCAACUAA